rnacentral:snRNA from 2 species
UAAAAGGGUGCUUGCUGCUUAGAUAGCACAUAGGUCCAAACGGGCCUGUGGGGUAUGGUUAUCAAGACAUAUCCAGCACGUAAUUUUUGUACCUGUAGGGCUGUUGACUGCCAAUAUGCAUCGACGCCCUC